UUUACAGGAAAUAUUACUUGUGCACAGAGUGGUCUGAUGUCAGAAAAAAACUCUUUUUGACUUUAGUAAAUUAUUAACUUGUUGUUGAUCUCCAUCAGACAAGAGUAUCAGAGACAGACCAAAAAAAGAUAACUGUGAACUGAGCUCAAAAUGAGAGUUCCAGUAAAACUCCUCGGCUUCGUCUUUUGGUUGUUGUUUUUUAAUUGUGCUCAAAGUCAAGACUGUCUUCGAGAGGAUAUCAAAUAUGAAAACACAGAACCAGCUGUGAAAGCUUCAUACAGUGAUGGUGAAACAGUGAAACUGUACUGCAUGACAGGCUUUACUGGCGUGUAUAGAUUAAAGUGUGAAGAGGGAACAUGGGACACAAUCGUUGAGCGAAAAUGUGCAGAGAAAAAAUGCAGUCACCCAGGAGACACACCAAAUGGUGAUUUUAAACUUACAGCAGGAUCAGAGUUUGUUUUUGGAGCAACAGUGUUGUACACUUGCAAGAAAGGAUUUGAAAUGACAAGCAGAAUCAAUCAGCGUACCUGCAGAGCUCAAGGAUGGGAUAAUACUGUCCCUGUCUGUGAGGCUGUGAAAUGUCCAGCCAUUCGCACAAAUGCGUUUGUGAAUGCAUCAGGCAACACAGAAGAGGGAAGUUAUGGUGAUGUUAUCCACUUUGAGUGUGUAUCUGCUGACAAAAAGAUAGACGGAAGUAGUGACAUUCACUGCACAGAGACGGGCGAAUGGAGUGACUCUGUUCCAACAUGCAAAGAGAUAACAUGCGCAGCACCUGUUAUAUCAAAUGGUUUUGUUGUUGAGCCAGUGCAAGAAUACCAGAAAGAUGCCAUAUUAAAAUACAGAUGUUCACCAGGGUUCAAGGCUAGAGAGGGAAUCCCCAGAUGUGCUAAAUUUGGCUGGACUCUGAACCCAGAAUGUGAUGAAGUAACUUGUGAGCUUAAGUCAAGAUUUGGAGUAGAGAAGAUCAACCCAGAGGGAAAAACUAUUUUCAGAGGUGGAGAAAGUGUGGAGAUCACCUGUGCUGAAAGAUACUGGAUCUUUGGUACAAAAGAAACCAUCAGAUCAUUUACAUGUCAAGAGAACGGGGAGUGGGAUCAUCAGCCUGUUUGUGAGGCUGCUCCAUUAUGUCGAGAAGCAGAGACGAAUGAGUUUUCGGAGAUCAGCAAUUUUGCAACAACUUCGAAUCACUUCAAGAGGAAUUCGGGAUUCUUUUUCGGGAUUCUGAUUGGCUUACGUGGGCUUGAGCUGCUCGUUACACUCUUGACGUCAUAUAUACACGGGGAAAUGUGGGCUACCACCAAAUGUGGACUUUGCAGAUACAACAGAAAUGACAAAAAGGGAAUAUAAUUCAGGGGAGAGAGUUGAAUACAUCUGCUUUAAUAAAUACACACUGGUUCAGAGUCACCCCUACUCCAAAUACUUGACCUGUGAAGACGGAGAAUGGAGAGGGAAUAUUAAGUGCUUAAAGCCCUGUUCAGUGUCUGUGGAGUUAAUGGAUGAAAGAGGUAUAGAGCUGCGAUGGGGUGGACGGGAAAAGAUAAUCUUACCACAUUGGGAUAGAAUCACCUUUAGUUGUAAGAGUGGCAAAUCUUCAAUAGGCAGUGGCCUAACACAAACAUGUAAUGAUGGAGUGAUGAAUUUGCCUCUGUGUGAGUGACAGUGAAUAAAACAUCACUGAAGCAUCAGCUGUAUUAAUAAACAAUAAGAAAUAAAGCAGAUCAAAAUUAA